CCGUAGUGCCGCAGACAAAGAGUGUGCUUCACGCGCCCGCCCGCGCCGCUCGGAGGGAGGAAGCGCGGUGAGUGCCGUGGCGACUGCCGGGGCCGAUAACCUUCUGGGAGCCGGCCGCCAGCGGGAUGCAAGGACCUCAGCUAGUGUGCCACGCGGGCCAGCUAUGCAGGGGACAGGGCCUGGGAAACUUCGACCUGGGUUCGUUUCCGAGUCUGCCGCGGGACCUCAGCGUCCUCGCCUGUUUAAUGGGACACUGCCGUGAAAACGGACAUGCAACGCCGGGACCUUCCGAGGCCUGCAGGCCCGAGCACGACUAGUCGAGAAACUCCUUGGGCGGCGAAAGGGCGCCCUCGUAGCGCUCUCGCCUGUCCUGCCUGCGCGCCCACCUGGAGGUGGCCUCUGGGGCUUCCGGUCUCCGGAGAACACGCGGGAAUGAGAGGGUCUGAGCGCGCCGCGCGCUUCCGGCAGGGCCGGGCGCUGUGCUGGGUGAGAGGAGACCGAACUUCAAAGCAGGCGGGCAGAGGGGCGAGGGGCUCCGCCAAGCCCCGGGGCCCUCACCUUCCGGCGGGCUGAGGGAGGGCUCGCCGGAGCAGCGCCAGGCUGCGAGGGAGGUGCCGGGACCCGCUGAGAACUUCCGGGCCCUGCGGGCCUGGUGGCGGGGACUCCAGCCACAGUGCAGAGGUGCGCAAGUCGGGCCCGGGCGACUCUGGGGAGGGGACCCCGAGCUGGACCCGUGGGCCUCGGAGCAGAGAGCGGGGCUGAGGGCAGGGAGUGUGCGGAUGCCCCGGAGUUCGAGCCCGUGGUCGUGGCGGGUAGCUGUGGGGUAGGGUGGUGGGGAGAGCUGAGCGGACGUGGCCCACCCGUCUCCUGACGUUCGCGGUGGGCGGGGCCCCUUGGUCCUUGCAGCGUCCUGUGGGCGACUUCUCCCUGCCCUUCCCCAGGGCCUCAGGGCGGUUUAGACUGUCCUCCUGGAUCCGGCCAGGCCUGAGACUUCUUCACUGUGGGGCCGACUUUCCUCCUUUAGGGCCUCCGGCAAGACCCUGUGCCACGUUUCGCCGCCCUUUUCGUCCUGUGUUGCCAGGUUCUGCAGUACAGCCACUGAUUGCAGUGAAUGCGUGUCCGUGGAGGGACCUUACCUGGGGAGGAUGCCAGCGUCUGUCACUGGUGAAACUUGGUGAUACAGAAGCCAGGGGAUUCCACUGCUCCUGUGUGUUUCAGUUUAUCCUUAGGAUCUAAAUUUAACCAUCGUUAAGCAGAGACCCAAACCCCAGGGCUGCUGACUCCUAGUCCAGUGCUCGUGAUGGCUGGUGGGCCCUGAACUAGGGGUCUGGAGGCCUAGGUUUGAAUAUCACCAGCCUUCGACCCAGCCAGGUGGCUCAUGGGAUGCGUUGGGGAGACUGUGAAAGGUCGGAGCACAACAAGACACUGAGUCAGGAAAAAAUAUUACAUAAAAACUGAUAAGACAAGGACAGUCUGUUUUGCUUUAUUUUUUAAGAGAACAUGUGUGCCUUUAAGUGGGUACUGUGCCUGGGGUGGUAGCACUGAGCUCUGCCUCCCUGGGGGUCUUGGGAAGGGGCCAAGCAGCAGCCUGGUACACAGUAGACAAACCAUGGCUGAGCUCAGAAACCCUGCAGGGAGGCCUCAUGGGAGCCCCCUGCAAGGAUCCAGGUGAGGCCUGCAGGCCUCUAGCUGUGGCCCUGCCAGGACAGCAGGACAGUGGGGGUGGGCUGGUGGUGGGGAACAGCAUUCUGCCUAGGGCCAGUCAGCAGGGGAGAGGUGGGGGUGGGAGGCACUUAAGGUGGGACCAGGAUCUGACCUGCUUACCUCAGGUGCCCCGGGGCCUCUUGGUGGGCACUGGGUAGGGGACUGGGGGUAGGUACUGAGAUGGGCUUUGUGAAUCACCUCCCUAAAGAGUCCCUGUUGCCCGAGAAUUCUUCAUCCUGGCGUGGCUGUGCCUGGUGCUGGGGACACAACAGACAGCAGUCUUCCACCUCCUUGGCCUCCGUGUGGUUGGAGAGAGAGAGAGAGCAAGCAGAAGGCAACACCGAGUAACCGGAUGGACAUGUGCUGCCGCACAGAGCCUGCCUUUCACUCCCAGGACCAGAGGGAGGCUGGAAGCGGAACUGUCUCAGGGGAUGAGUCAGGUCACUGAUAAGGGUGGAUUUUUAUUUGGUAAUUUAUUUUAUCAUUUCUUACACAAGACAGUGGGGAAACAGCCAUCAGCAGGCAGAAAGGAAAAGCAAGUCCUCUGCUCUCCGGGCUCUGGAAUCUAUUGAAUUAAAUGAGAAGUGGGCUGUCAGUUGGUUCCCAUCUCAGUGCCAUGAGCCCCUGAGGCCCAGGGUGACCUGGCUACAGCCUCACUGCUUGUCUUUCAUCCCCUAAUUGCUCCACUCAGGUUUGCACUCCCACCUCAGGGCCUUUGUACUGGCUGCUCCUGUACCCGCUCCUGGGAAGCUCAUUCCCCAUCCCCCAACCUUGCAUAGAUCUAUCUCCAGAACUUCCUUUGUCCCCUCAGAAGGAGCUUGGCUAACCCUCUGCUGUGAUCUUCGUGUUCAUGUGUUGAAAUCCUACCCUCCAACAUGAUGGCAUUAGGAAGAGAGCCUCUGCAGGCUUGACAGCUGACCCUUCUCCGGGGACAUGUGGCUUGUGAGAGAAACACAAGGGAUGGUUCCAGUUUUUCUAAGAUGUAUUUUAAGAAUUAAAAACAUCAGGAACAGAGUGCCCCCCUGCUGAACUGCGUUCCACCAUGGUGGGGAGGGUACUGAGCAGGACGCCUGGGGGAGGCUUGUCCUGUGGCUUUGAUGAUGGCGUCUGUCCUCAUUUGACUUCUGCUGUGGAAUCAGCUACCCCUUGGGCCCUGCAGGGCUGAGUCAUGUCUUAGGGAAACAGCUAAGAGGCACAGUCCCAGGCCCCACCCCAAAACUAAGGAGACAGCCCCCACGAGCAGGUAGGAUGCAUCUGCAUUUAAGCCAACAUUUUCCCUAAGGGGCUUUAGCACUCAGGUUCAGUGUCUUCAAAGAUCUCAGCUCAGACCCUUCCUGCAGGUCUUUGCUUUAGAUUGUGUGGGACGGGGUCUGGGAGGAUUCUGGUGCCCAGCAGUACCCUGCCCUGGUUCUGUGCUUCCAUGGCAAAACGGUUCUGGCUUUGUGGGAAAUGAAGAUAGGAGUUUAUUUGAUAAACCAGCUAAAUUACUAAGGGUUUUUUUUUUUUUUUCCUUAGCUCCAAAGUUGCCACCAGCCUGUGGGAUAAUAGCAUUUCUGUCAGUUUCCCCUUAGGUGAGCUGCAGGCCCCUGGCAUGCUCCAGUGCCUCUCAGAACUCCACUUGGCUUUAGGGGGCCAGGAGGCCAGAGCGAGAUGACCAGAAACUCCAUGUUUUGAUUGAUGGUGUGGGGACCAGACUCGGGUGCUUUAGCACUGAGCUACAUCCCCAGGCCUUUUUAUUCUUUGAGACAGGGUCUGUCCACUUUGCUGAGGCUGGCUUCGAACUUGCAGUCCUGCCUCAGCCCCCAGGCUUGUGCCACUCCAUCUGGCCAGAAACUCAAGGUGGGAAUUGAUAUGAAUAGAUGUGCCAAAUGCUUCUCAAAUAAAAAUAGAGCUUUAGGGGUCUGCAGGCCAACCGGUCAGGGUGUGGGCUGGACUGGAGGAGCUCAGCCACUUAUUUGUGGACAGGAUACUUGCUACCCAUCUGGUCCCACCUUCAUGCUUUCUGAGGAUCCUACAGACAGUGGCAAAUGUUGGAAGCUCAGGCUGUCCCAGGCCAACAGGCCUCUGAGGGCAGGGGCCACAGGAGGGCACUGUGCUCCUGCCUGGCCUAGGUUGGUGCUUGGUAGGGCAAGUGGAGUUGGCAUCCUGGGAAGGAGGGAGAGGGAGGGGCAGCUGGCAGGGAGACACUGUGUGCCAGGCACAGAGCCCAUCAGGGCCAGGCAUGGUCACAGCAGGCAUGCCCUGCAGCUGGAGACAGGCAGCCCCUGAGACUGGCAGAGAAAAGGCUCCGGAGAAGUGCCCUCAACGUCCUGCAACCUAGCAACUCUGAAUGUUCCAGAAUCCUGGAGUGGAUUUCAGGUUCCAGUCUGUGGCCUGUGCCGCCUUCCCCAGCUACACCCUGCCAGGCCUUAAGCCACUCAGUGAGACUCUAAAUAAAUACAAAUAGGGCUGGGGUGUGGCUCAGUUGUCCGAGUUCAACCCCUGGUACCAAAAAAUAAAAGGCCAGACCAGCGACGUCCUCCUCUGUCCUCCUCGGGUGGUGGACAGGGAGGAAGUCUUCUCUCCUGCAGCCAGUCUCCUGUGCCACCCCCUUCCUGCAUGGGGCUCUGUCCUGUCCUUGGUCUCCUAAGUGCCUGACCUCUAGCUUCUGUGUCACAGCAGGGGGCACCCACAUUGGGCUUGUCCUAGUGCAGGGCACAGGCAGCUCCUCCUCGACCUUUCCCUGACCCUUUCCCUGCGUCACUGAAUGCGGAGUGCCUGCUCACCAGCCGGCUGGGUGGCCCUGGGGUUCCUAUCAGGGCUGCUUCCCUACCCACCUGGUUCAGGACAUCCUGCCUCCCUGGCAUUGGCCCUCCUUCACCUGCCACUGCCCAGCAGCCUCCACCUGCACUACAGGGUGUGUCCACACACUCCACUCCAGUGUCCCAAGCCUUCCCAGUCCCAGCUGGCCUUGGCUCACCAGGCCACUCUGCCAGUCAGGCCACACUGGGGUGCUCUCCUGCUGCCUGCCAGGAAGGCCUGCCCCCCUCAGAAGGGGCUCAGUGGUCUCCUUCCCGAAGCCUCCAGGGCAGCUGCAGACCGACAGGCUUCUGGACCCUCACGGGGACUGCCACAGCCUUUCCUGGCUCUUUAUGGCAGCUUGAUUCCUGUGUUCCUGCUUCACAAGGUGGAGUCGUCCCCUCCCCCCACUGGGCCUGGUGACACCCUAGUGAACACAGAGGCCGCACAGCGGAGUCCUGAGGGCCAGCUGGGUGCCCCCUGCCUGCUCUAGGGGAAGUCAGGUGCCUGCUGGGAGGCUACUCCAGCCCUGUGCAGGGGGGUUAGGGUGUGGCUUCAGGUCACUGAGUGAGUCACCCUAGUCAAGCCUUCAGUGACUGCAGCCUCACAGAGACCACACAGAGCCACCCAGCUGAGCUUCCUCAGGGACCUGACCCUCAGACAUUGUCAGAGAAUGAAUGUAUGAUGUUUUCAAGAAAAGCAUUUUAGGGCUGGGGAUGUGGCUCAAGCGGUAGUGCGCUCGCCUGGCAUGCGUGCAGCCCGGGUUCGAUCCUCAGCACCACAUACAAACAAAGAUGUUGUGUCCGCCGAAAACUAAAAAUAAAUAAAUAAAUAUUAAAAUUCUCUAUCUCUCUCCCUCUCUGUUUAAAA
rnacentral:lncRNA from 1 species